ensembl:lncRNA
GCCGCACGAUCCGCUUGUCGACCUCCCGAUCCAUCCCGCCCCCACUGUGGCAGGCCGCCUGUCCGGGACCGUGUGUGACGUUUUGAUGAGGAUACGAACACAUCUCCUACUGCAGUCCUACAGAGACCGGAUGGCCCGCUGCAACGGGUCCAGCGCCCCGCACAAAGAAAGCCAGUCGAAUGUCUUCUCCAAGUCCACAAAGCACAGAGUCUCGCCUGACAAUGAAAUACCUCAGCCUCUUCACAAUAGAAGACUUCUCUGAGGAGCAUCGGCUCCCCUUUGGUCCUGUCGGGUUGUUUGCUCGGCCUCGGCCCGGCUGCUCGCCCUCAUCAGGAUCAUCUCCAGCAGAACAAAAUCUCAGCAACAAAACUAAGAAAUGACCAGAAAUAAACCAAGAGAGCCGUUGACUUCCCCUACAAUCAGAUCAGAAUUGUAAGUUAUUGAUCCGAGGAGGAGCUGGUAGGUGAAUAUUCUCAACAGUCAUGCUAGCUCGGCAUGUUUUUAUCCUUUCGUGGGAUUGAGAUCUCUUUAAUGUUUCUAAAUUGACUUCCUUCCCGACCCGGGAGUCUUGUUUCCUCCUGGUAGGCUCAUGACCCGGAGCAGAAGCUAAGCGUUUCGCUCCCAGUGGGAUGAACCACUCAUUGAUGUGUGAAAGAGACGAAUGAGCCACGGAGGGAAGAUUAAACCAUCAUCGCCAUUAUUCAUUAGCUUUAGCUAGCUGUCCCUAAUAUCUGCACUCAAAUAAACAUGGCGACAGAAAAAAAAAAAAAAAUGGUCGAUA